UGGGGAAUAUUGGGCAAUGGGCGAAAGCCUGACCCAGCGACGCCGUGUGGGCGAUGAAGGCCUUCGGGUUGUAAAGCCCUGUGACGUGGAAAGAAGGGUCCAGAGGUUAAUACCCUUUGGACUUUGACGGUACCACCAGAGGAAGCACCGGCUAACUCCGUGCCAGCAGCCGCGGUAAUACGGAGGGUGCAAGCGUUGUUCGGAAUUACUGGGCGUAAAGGGCGCGUAGGUGGUUGUGUAAGUCAGAUGUGAAAUCCUUAGGCUUAACCUGAGAACUGCAUCUGAUACUGCAUGGCUCGAGUACAGCAGAGGGAAACGGAAUUCCUGGUGUAGAGGUGAAAUGCGUAGAUAGCAGGAGGGACACCGGUGGCGAAGGCGGUUUCCUGGGCUGAUACUGACACUGAGGCGCGAAAGCGUGGGGAGCAAACA
rnacentral:rRNA from 1 species